rnacentral:rRNA from 1 species
AUGGAUGUGCCCGCACCCAUUGAUCCAUUCGACUAUGUCUACUCAAACCUCCUAGACAGCACACACAUCCUAAAGCACACCGCAAACUGCGACCAAUGUAAGGCCAAGAAAUUUGAGUCUGAGACAGACAGCUUCUGUUGUCGCAAUGGCCAAAUCGAGCUCAAGAAACCGGAUCCCAUCCCGGAGCUAAAGAGGCUUUGGUCCAACAUGGAUGUGGACUCUAGACAUUUUCAGGAGAACAUAGUUUUCAAUGGCCACUUCUCCUUCACAACACUUCACGCCAGCCUCGAUCAAAACUACACAAAAAUGAAGUCUAGGGUGUACACAUUCCGGGUGCACGAUACAAUCUACCACAAUGUGCAUUCCCUCGGGCCUAACUUCCAUCCAGAACAUCUCCAGUUUUACUUCUACGAUGAUGACCCUAACCUAACCCAUCGCAAGGCUGCCACCAAGCAAUUAGACCAGAAUGUCGUCAAUCAGUUAGAGGACAUACUCCGGGAAAACCCGUACUCCCAGGAGCUUAGGAGUUUGGGUGCACACAAGGACAACAUCGAAAAUUAUAGGAUAGACCUCAACACUGACCAGAUGCUUGACCAACCAAAAUAUAAUAGACCGGUGUCAUAUGAGGUCGUUGCAAUUUGGGUGGAGGGGGGCUAUUCUCACAUCUAG